GCCUCCGGCUAGACCGGCCUGGUGGCGCCCCAUGCCUGCGGCUGUUGGAAGCUAAGCAGGGUGGGGUUUGGUUAGUACAUGGAUGGGUGACCACCAUGGAAAACCCGGUUGCCGGGAGGCU
ensembl:rRNA 5S_rRNA 5S ribosomal RNA